rnacentral:misc_RNA from 1 species
ACAUAGUACGGACAAUGUGAGCGUUAUCGUGGUUGAUUUAAGAAGGAAUCAACAGUCAUGAACAAGAAUAAUAGUACAUAUAGUAAUUAGAACUGUUAUAAAAAAAUAAUGAGAAGGAAAAAAAUGAAAAAUAUGGAGUAGUUUUAUUUAGCUUUAAAUUGUAUAUUUGUAAAGUCUCCUUCUGAAAGAAGGGGAUAAAGGAUCAAAGGACAAUCGAAAAUUUCCGUAUGGGAUUUGGUUUUUGAGGCUGGAGAAUGAUUAUUGACGUAGAGUUGUGGUGGGGAAUACUAAUUUUUAUGGUUCUAAAAUGCGUAUAAAUCUUAGGGGAAGGACAUUUUAUUCCUCAUCAUUUAAUCCUAUUCUCUAGUUCAGUUUUCCUUACUAAAUCUUUUGAUGUUUUCUUAUUUUUCGUUGCUCAACCCAUCUUCUCAGUCAUCCCCUAUGCAAUAAUUUUUUUGUCCAUAUGAACCCUUCAUCAAUGUGGAGGGGGUGAAAAAAAAAA